UACGGAGGGUGCAAGCGUUAUCCGGAUUCACUGGGUUUAAAGGGUGUGUAGGCGGGCUGUUAAGUCAGUGGUGAAAUCUCCGGGCUCAACCCGGAAACUGCCAUUGAUACUAUCAGUCUUGAAUAUCGUUGAGGCAGGCGGAAUAUAUCAUGUAGCGGUGAAAUGCUAGAAUAUGAUAUAGAACACCAAUUGCGAAGGCAGCUUCUAACAGUAUUGACGCUGAGGCACGAAAGCGUGGGGGAGUCAAAACAGGAAUUAGAUUACCCCGG
rnacentral:rRNA from 1 species